rnacentral:rRNA from 1 species
GACGAACGCUGGCGGCGUGCUUAACACAUGCAAGUCGAACGGAAAGGCCCUGCUUUUGUGGGGGGCUCGAGUGGCGAACGGGUGAGUAACACGUGAGUAACUUGCCUGUGGCUGGGGGAUGACUGGAGGAAACCGGGUCUAAUACCGGAUAGGAGCUCCGGCUGAAUGGUGGGGGCUGGAAAGUUUCGGCGGUUGGGUAUGGACUCGCGGCUUAUCAGCUUGUGGGUGGGGUAGGGGCUUACCAAGGCUUUGACGGGUAGCCGGCCUGAGAGGGUGACCGGCCACAUUGGGACUGAGAUACGGCCCAGACUCCUACGGGAGACAGCAGUGGGGAAUAUUGCACAAUGGGCGGAAGCCUGAUGCAGCAACGCCGCGUGCGGGAUGACGGCCUUCGGGUUGUAAACCGCUUUCGCCUGUGACGAAGCGUGAGUGACGGUAAUGGGUAAAGAAGCACCGGCUAACUACGUG